rnacentral:rRNA from 1 species
GACGAACGCUGGCGGCGUGCUUAACACAUGCAAGUCGAACGGAAAGGCCCUGCUUGCAGGGUACUCGAGUGGCGAACGGGUGAGUAACACGUGGGUGAUCUGCCCUGUACUUCGGGAUAAGCCUGGGAAACUGGGUCUAAUACCGGAUAGGAGCCAUUUUUAGUGUGAUGGUUGGAAAGUUUUUUCGGUGUAGGAUGAGCUCGCGGCCUAUCAGCUUGUUGGUGGGGUAAUGGCCUACCAAGGCGGCGACGGGUAGCCGGCCUGAGAGGGUGGACGGCCACAUUGGGACUGAGAUACGGCCCAGACUCCUACGGGAGGCAGCAGUGGGGAAUAUUGCACAAUGGGCGCAAGCCUGAUGCAGCGACGCCGCGUGGGGGAUGACGGCCUUCGGGUUGUAAACUCCUUUCGCUAGGGACGAAGCUUUUUGUGACGGUACCUAGAGAAGAAGCACCGGCUAACUACGUG